rnacentral:lncRNA from 1 species
GUAGUCUCUUGCUUUGCUUCCUGUCUUCCCUCUAGCACAAGGGCAUGGCACAGUCACCAGACAUCUUAGGCUUUAAAAGAAAAUGAAAUGAAAUGGAAAUGAAAAUCAAUGAAAAGACCCUGCUACCAUUCUUACCUCAAGAAGAAACAGCUUUUUGUCCCUGGGGAGAACACAGGUUUGUGACAAACUAAGGGGAAGGACAUCCCGCUCUGCCUGCCAGCUUUUGAAAGCCAUAUCAUGACCUCUCAGCUGGCACAACCAAGGAACUGGCUCUCUUCAUGUCCACGGGGAAUUAAGGCUGGCUGAAGGAACGUAGAAAAUCUGAAGUGAUUCAGACAAGCAUGACUCAGCCACCCUGUCACAAAGUUCUUCACAAAGAAGAUUCCCAGCUUUGGCUGCCCUUAGACCUGCCAGCUCUCUGCUCUGGUGCUCACCACCUAAUCCCUGAAAUCUGGAUAGAUUACUUCAAACAAGAGAACAUAUGUCAAAACCUGUCAUCCUCAGGUAUGAGGUCAUAUUUGUGCUUCCUACCAGGAGGGAAGAAGAUUUACAAGGCCUUUGAACAGAAUGACAGAAUGACAGAAUGACAGAAUGGGAAAGGUUGGAAGGGACCACAGUGGGUCAUCU